CCUUGACCGUAUAAGUAGCAUAAUCAAUUGUCUUUUAAUUAAAGGCUUGUAUGAAUGGUUGGAUGAGAUAUAAUCUAUUUUUAUUUUAAUAUAAAUGAAUUUUAAUUUUUAGUAAAAAUGCUAAAAUAAUUAAAUUAGACGAGAAGACCCUAUAAAUCUUUAUUUUAUAUUUAAUUAUAAAAAUUUUUUGUUUAAUAAAUUUAAUUUUUAAGUUAAAAUUUUAUUGGGGUGAUAAUGAAAUUUGAAUAACUUUUAUUUAUUUUUAUAAGUGUAAUUAAAUUUUUGAUCCAUUAUUGAUGUUUAAAAAAUUAAGUUACUUUAGGGAUAACAGCGUAAUUAUUUUUGAAAGUUCUUAUUGAUAAAAUAGAUUGCGACCUCGAUGUUGAAUUAUGGAGCUAAAUUUAGGUGUAGA
rnacentral:rRNA from 1 species